ACUCCCGUGCCGAUCAGUAGUGGGAUCGCGCCUGUGAACAGCCCCUGCAGCGUAGCCUGGGCAAGACAGUGAGACACGGUCUCUUUUUAUACAGACACCCUGCAAGCCUGGAGGGGGGAUGGGAGCACCCACACGCUGGGGAUUCUGACUUGGCGGGAGGGACGCACCAAGCAACUUGGAUCUUGGAUGGGGGCAGGGGAAACCACACACAGGAGCUAGUUCAUGGGGUGGGGGACAGACACCCAGUGGAGAUCCUGGAUGGGAGAACCCAGGGCACGGUGAUCUUGAACUGGGAGGAGGGAAGCACCAUGUACCAGAGGUUCUGAAGGGGGAACAGGGACACUCACACACCAGGUGUCUUGCAGCAAGAGCUGCGGCCUUGAUUUACACACGGCAGGGAUGGGGAAUUAACCAAGUCUCUUGAGGAGCUUAUUUCACUAGCUGAUUAGCCUCAUUGUUAAAAAUGGUCAUUUCCAGUCGGUAUUUUGUGACAUUGGCCGCAAAUCAAUGGGGUCUUGUUCAACCUUUGUCUGGUGAAUUGAAGAACCCUUUAAAAUCACAUAUUCCCCCUCUGGGAAUUUUUACAACAAUGUAUUUAAAACAGUGAUUAAAUCGCCUCUUAACCUCCA